GGGACAUCCAGCAGGUGCGACCGCAGGUCGCCGAUGGCAAGAUGGAGAGCAUGCUGUGACGGUGGUUCGUCGAGUCGAAGGGUGCCGUCAAGCAAUAUUUGUGGGAGAAUGACUUGGCUGUCGGCAACUGGCUUCAAGUACAGCUCCACCCAAAGGUGCUGCGUUCGCUCAUCAACAUCCAGUGCUUGAGGCGUGAUGCAAGAACAUGCUCCAAGCCAACACCGAGGUGAUCAUGGCCUCAGUCUUGCACGUCAUCCAGCAGUUGACUCCGCAGCAGCGCUCGGACCUGCUAGCGACCAUCCGGACUCUAGAGCACGAUCUGGUACUGACCACUGCUCUAAGCAGUGAGUCGCCAGCAACCCCGCCCUCAGACACGGCGUCUUCACAGAAUGCCUCAAUGGCGCGGCUGCAAAUGGCCGAGCGGAACCGCGGCAGUCGACGCCGGAAACCGAGUUGAAGCGUCUCCUCCGCCGUGCCAUCAAAACGCAAGCUUCGAAAGUGAUUUGCGCACGUGCACGUUGACGUAGGGCAGAGACAUAAUCGGCGCGAGACUACGUGUUGAAUAUUUUUUUUUUUUUUUUUGGGGGGGGGGGGGGAUCAAAUCUUAACGAACUGUUACACAAUACGAACUAAAUGUGCAUUUGUCUAAAAGGGGCCCUGUUGGAUGAAUGUGCGGAUUUUCGUCGAGGGCCGGCAGUACAAGAACUGGUCUUUCCGGAAUGCCAGUCAGCAACGGAUUUGUUUCAAUAUAAUGUUGUUGAACCUGUGUUCUGUUGCUGCCAUUGUCUUUCGUAUUUCACUUUAAGAGAGCCUUUUUUUCUGGGUAACUGCUCCACUGGCUGUCUUCUGCCGAUACUAUGUAUGGCAAAGCUUACAUAUUUUAAAACCAGGUUUUCAUGUGCAUCAUCUUUGCUGCACUCUUCCUUUAAUAUAACGAUUCAACACUCUUCAGUCUUUAGCGAUUGUUCAUGACAUUCACGGCCCAUUCAUUUUUUGUCUGCUGGGCAACGUGGCUUCCACAAUGCAGCUAGUUCUGGAGAUGGCUUUACGCAAUGAGCCAAGAUCUUUUGUAGACUUUGUAAAUAUACCCGCACUUGCAGAAGUUUCCAGGUGCUAUUUUGUUUCGUCUGCUUAGGUCUAAAUAGUAUUACCUGGCUCUUGGAGGAACUAAAUCAUUGGGAAGCACGGCGUCCAGACAACUGACGCACAGACCAAUACUCGUGAAAUGUAUAACUGGCUUACAUGGUCAUCGCUUUAUUUUUGUGUAAGACAUCGCCGACGGUUGAACUACUUUCUGUGCACACUGCGCAGUCGCAUUGCGAAGGCGCGCAGCUUUUCACCGUUGGCGUACUUUGUAGUUCUUUUUUUUUUUCAGAAGUGCAAAGCGUGUUUCGCGUCGAGAAGAACCAUAUUCAUUUUUGUACCAUCCUUCC
rnacentral:lncRNA from 1 species